CUUUUAUGUUGUUGACCUAUUUGCCUCCCUCUUAUAAGGAACCUUGUGAUUACAUUUGCCCAUCCAGAUAGUCCAGGAUAAUCUCCCAUCUCAAGAUCCUUAACUUCAUCGUGUCUACAAAAUCCUUUUCACCAUCUGCCUUCGGGGAUCAUCUUGUCAGUUAUGCAGCUUUCCAAUUUUACGGCUGAGAUCAAGAAUGAUUCCUUAAAGGCACAUGGGAAACACAAUGUGUCUUAGAAUGAAAUGUGGGAAAGUGGACGUGAAUUUGCUACAUGGCCAAUACUGUAGGGCUUUUCGCUGAGAUGGAGGUAGCUCUGUGCGGCAGUCCCGGAAGACUUUCACAAGAAGAGUUCAGACAGUAGAAAAUAAUCCUAAAUGAUUGUGCCAUGGGCUUCCAUUGAAAGACCCAUGGUCUGCUGCAAGCUCUUGGCCAGAAGAACCCGCCGUCAUCUUAUUGCUGUGUGGCUCCUGCCGUGUCGGAAAGGGCUGACGGGUCCUGGGGAACAUGCCUGGCAGUCUACUGCAGAGCAAUGGUGAAAAUAUGAAUCACUCCAUCUCCAGCACAACGUCUGGGAAGAAAGAAGGGGAAAAUGACUCACAGCCUGUUUGGAAUAUCAGGGGCCCAUAAGUGAGAAAUGAGGAGGGUCAGCACAGCAAAGUGUAUGUUUCUCACCGGGUGAAGGAUUUCCACGUAACAGGACUCACGGAAUGCAAAUGAAACUUGUACCUUAGAGAAGGGAACUUCUUUCUACUCCCCUAAACCUCUCAGUCGAAAACUUCAUUCUUCCAUUAAAAAAGAAUUGUGUUUUGUGAUUUAUAAAGUCUACUGCUUUUUCUUCAAGUUGAAUGUUAACGUUCUGCCUUGUGCCCUUAACUUAAUGGAUGUUCUCAAAACUGGCAGCUUUUCUUUCAUGCGGGAAGAAGGAAUAAUUCUGAAUUAAGAGCACUAAAAUAGGUUAAGGAUACAUUAUGUCAGAGGCUGUAGAUUGUUAACAAGCAAAGGAAGCACAAGUCAUAGGAUAUAAUACAAUUAAAGGCAACUGGGUAAGAUUGCCAGCCGUUCCAUCCCAAUGACUUCACCUGUUGAUGCCAGAGGUGACCCUUUCCAGUCUGUCUAAAAUUUGACAGGGUCCAAGGUGCUUUUCUAAUUUCUGAGUGAAUCACAAUUAGUGAGUAUAGUAGGUGCUGCGGGUGCCCCUCCUAUAUCUCAUUACCAGGCCCAUUUGCCCUUCUCCAGCUGUUGUGAGUUUUGGCUGCUAAUGAGCUACAGCUGCGCCCCCUCCAGAAAAUUGCUGAUGGCAGCUGUAUCUCCCAAGAGGUUAUGAUCCUCCAAUUAGGGGCAGCCAAUGAUUGAUGGAUAUGGGGCUACAAAUGGCUGGUCCCUUGCAUCAAAGGAGAGGUUCAUAAUUAAUUUUGUGGGAUGAUCCCAUGGAUCAGGUCAAGACUAGCCUUUAUAUGGGACCACAUCCUUGCUCAGCCCUUUCCUCUUCUGUCUCCUGCUUGUCAUACCCUCCCAUGAAGAGCUUUGCCUGAAGAGCACCCCUUCAAUAAACUUCAUGCACCAGAACUACUAUCUCAGGCUUGAUUCUAGGGUGUCCAGACCUACCACAGUCUGUUCUAUGGACCCUUCAUGAGCCAUUGUAACAGAAGAAGAAAAGUCCCUUCAGCUUAGUAGUGUUCUCUGUGCAGCCUUUAUGCAUCAGCCUACAUGGAAUAAGCAUGGUUGGCAAAGGAUCAAAGCCACAAAGCUGGUCCUGACCUAAUCAUGGGAGCCCUUUAAAGGCAGAGAGUUUUCUUUGGCUGCGUAGAGGUGGAGGAGGAGAACGGGGAAGAAGAGGAGGAGGAGGAGAUUGGAUGUGCCACUGCUGGCUUGAAGAUGAAGGGACUACAUGGGCAUGCUGGGACUGCAGGAGGGGGAGCAUGUCUGUCUGCUUUGUUCCUGUCUACCCAGUGAACCCAGUACCUCUCGCAGCUUUUGGCAUACAUUGCAGGUCCUUCUAGUUGUGGGAUGUGGGACGCCGCCUCAAUGUGGCCUGACGAGCGGUGCCAUGUCCUCGCCCAGGACCCGAACCCUGGGCCGCCACAGCAGAGCGCACAAACUUAACCACUCGGCCACGGAGCUGGCCCCCGAAAAUCCAAUCCUGUUACUAGCUUUCUAUUCUUGUGUCUGUGCCUCAGGCGAGGGAAGGAGAACCCAAGACCCUUCAUCUCUGUAGACCAGGAGGCUUGAGACUGAUGAUCUGUGCUUAGGCUGCACCCAGGGAGCAGACAGUUAUGAUCAGCUU
ensembl:lncRNA